GAUGAACGCUGGCUACAGGCUUAACACAUGCAAGUCGAGGGGAAACGCCGGGGAAGCUUGCUUCCCCGGGCGUCGACCGGCGCACGGGUGAGUAACGCGUAUCCAACCUGCCUCUGACUGAGGGAUAACCCGUCGAAAGUCGGCCUAAUACCACAUGGCAUCGUCUGCGGGCAUCCAACGACGAUUAAAGAUUUCAUCGGUCAGGGAUGGGGAUGCGUCUGAUUAGCUAGUUGGCGGGGUAACGGCCCACCAAGGCGACGAUCAGUAGGGGUUCUGAGAGGAAGGUCCCCCACAUUGGAACUGAGACACGGUCCAAAAUACUACGGGAGGCAGCAGUGAGGAAGAUUGGUCAAUGAGCGAGAGCCUGAACCAGCCAAGUAGCGUGCAGGAGGACGGCGCUAGGGGUUGUAAGCUGCUUUUAUGCGGGGAUAAAGUGAGGGACGUGUCCUUCAUUGCAGGUACCGAAUGAAUAAGGGCCGGCUAAUUCCGUG
rnacentral:rRNA from 1 species